GUCCGAGCGGGGAGCGGCCCGCGGAGCGCGGAGAGGCGGAAGCGCCUGCGAUGGCGUGCCGUUUUCUUCGCCGUCACGGUCCGUUAUUUCGAUGUCGAAAACGCUAUAAAUAAUGAAACCCGACCCGCAGUCCCGCACUGGCCGCGUCGGAGAGGAACGAGGGAGAAGAGGCCGGAGGGAGAUUCCGGAGGAGAUGCCUUCAAGGUUUCUCUCGGCGGCCGCCAACGCUCCCGCCCCCUCCCCCGCCAGCGACGUGUUGAUCAAGGAGGUAAUUAUUUGAGGGGCAACAUGAUCUUGAUCAAUUGUUUGAGUGGCAUUAGCUGAUCCUUUGAAGGGACGAUCAUGCUGCUGUGGGCAUUGUGCAGAGACAUCGAUUGACCAAGGGAUUGCCUAUGUGCUGAUGCUAGUGGCACUGGUGCUGACCUACCUGAAUCCACCCCUGGUUGCCUCCUCCCCCUACAAACUCUUCUAAGUUCAUAUCCCUUGUGAGAGGGGGGAGGGUUGCACUUUUUGUGUUUAGGUGAUGUGUGGGUUCAUGUAUGGAAUUUAGAGUGGUGUUGGACAACAUCUCCCAACCAAGUUAGGCACGACUUGAAAUAGUUAGAAACAAGCCUGCUGAAUUUAGUUAUUUCAUACUUUGGCCAUAGAA